rnacentral:tRNA from 3 species
GCACCCGUAGCUCAGCUGGAUAGAGCGUUGGCCUCCGGAGCCAAAGGUCAGAGGUUCGAAUCCUCUCGGGUGCG